rnacentral:rRNA from 1 species
UAACGUUCUGAAAAGAACGCUAAUACCGCAUAAGAUUGUAGUUUCGCAUGGGACAGCAAUCAAAGGAGCAAUCCGCUGAAAGAUGGACUCGCGUCCGAUUAGAUAGUUGGCGGGGUAACGGCCCACCAAGUCGACGAUCGGUAGCCGGACUGAGAGGUUGAUCGGCCACAUUGGGACUGAGACACGGCCCAGACUCCUACGGGAGGCAGCAGUGAGGGAUAUUGGGCAAUGGGGGAAACCCUGACCCAGCAACGCCGCGUGAGGGAUGACGGUUUUCGGAUUGUAAACCUCUGUCCUCUGUGAAGAUAGUGACGGUAGCAGAGGAGGAAGCUCCGGCUAACUACGUGCCAGCAGCCGCGGUAAUACGUAGGGAGCAAGCGUUGUCCGGAUUUACUGGGUGUAAAGGGUGCGUAGGCGGAUUGGCAAGUCAGAAGUGAAAUCCAUGGGCUUAACCCAUGAACUGCUUUUGAAACUGUUAGUCUUGAGUGAAGUAGAGGUAGGCGGAAUUCCCGGUGUAGCGGUGAAAUGCGUAGAGAUCGGGAGGAACACCAGUGGCGAAGGCGGCCUACUGGGCUUUAACUGACGCUGAGGCACGAAAGUGUGGGUAGCAAACAGGAUUAGAUACCCUGGUAGUCCACACUGUAAACGAUGAUAACUAGGUGUGGGGGGUCUAACCCCCUCCG